UACGAAGGGGGCUAGCGUUGCUCGGAAUCACUGGGCGUAAAGGGCGCGUAGGCGGUCGUGACAAGUCACUUGUGAAAUCUCCGGGCUUAACUCGGAACGGUCAAGUGAUAUUGUCGGACUAGAGUACAGAAGGGGCAACUGGAAUUCUCGGUGUAGCGGUGAAAUGCGUAGAGAUCCGGAGGAACACCAGAGGCGAAGGCGGCCUACUGGGCUGCACCUGACGCUGAGCCGCGAAAGCCAGGGGAGCGAACGGG
rnacentral:rRNA from 1 species